rnacentral:misc_RNA from 1 species
GCGAGUUCUAAACUCCAACCCUCGUGGACAUACCUAUCGUUGCUUCGGCGGGCCCCCCUUGCAGGGGGGCAGCAGGGCCCGCCCCUGCGCCCGCCGGUGGCACGCCAACCAAAACCUGAAUCACAGUCGCAUUCUGAGUGGACUACAAAUAAGUCA